rnacentral:lncRNA from 1 species
AUCACGAUGUGUUGCAGUGUCCAAUAAAAACAGAGAGAACAGACACGUAGGUAGUAAGUGUUCAAAAUCCCCUUUUAUUGGUUGUUGGCAUCCAGGUGAACCAAUGGCACAAGAGUAAGAUUUAAUCACCAAAAAAAUAAAACAGAGAGUUCCAGUUUCACAAAGUAAAAAAAAAUAAAAAAAAGUUGAUUUUUUAUUUUUAUUUAUAUAGUUACAUUUAGUAAAUUACCCAGAAACACUUGAGUCAUACACAGGCAUUACCAAGAACUACAGUGAGGUACUCUAACCUCUCACCUGUGUGAACCAACAGUCAACACACACACACACAUAUCCAUCCACUAACACCACAUCAUUGACCUCUUGGACUAGAUCACAGUGGAUCACAUUUACAUGAUAAUGGAGGAGAUGAAGCACCAGAUUCCAGUUGUGGAGGAGGAGUGAAACCAGGAAGUGAGAUGGUUUUUAUAUCAAUGACCAACAGAUCGUUCUCCAUGAUAAUGGCUGUGCCUUUAGAGAGGGAAAUUAAAAGAAAUUCUUCCAGUGCUCAGAGAGGUUUUAACGUCCGACUCACGGGAUCGGCGAUCCCGUCAGAGAGGUUAACGCCCGACCGGGAUCGGCGAUCCUGUCAGAGAGGUUAACGUCCGACCGGGAUCGGGAUCCAGUCAGAGAGGUUAACGUCCCACCAGAUCAGAGCUCUGGACAGCUGUAAGGACACACACUUCCUUCAUGAAAACAACAUUUAACAGGUUAUUUCCUGUCUGGGAGAUCAAAAUCUCCACCAAUGAGCUCACAGCUAGAGGAAGACAUAAUUUCCUCUAGGUUAACAUUGUAAAUUUCCUGUGAUUCAAUAUGAGAUGAGGGACUAAAACCCAUUCCAGAAUCCGCUUCCAGUUUUUACACAACACUCAGAGACCAGCGGGUCUCUACUUCCAGAAAGGCCCGGAUUCAAUACCAUCACUGCUUUUUUUUAGACAAUGCGCCAUUUAAAAAUAAAAAUAAAAUGGCGCAUUGUCCAAAAAUCUCCAACCAAUGAGCUCACAGCUAGAUGAUGACAUCAUUUCCUUUAGGUUACACAUUGGAACAUUUUACAUUUCCUGUGAUUCAAUAUUAUGAGAUGAGGGACUAAAACCCCAUUCCAGAAUCCACUUCCAGUUUUUCCACGGCGCUCAGAGUCCAGCGGGUCUCUACUUCCAGACAGAACCGAUUCUGUAUCAUCACUGCUUUUAUUUCUUCUUCUAAAAGGGUCAUUUCAAAAUAAGCCGACAUAUGCAGCGUUUACCGUAAACAUUGCAUUGUGGGAUUGAAUCCUGGCCAACAAAAUCAGGUCAUGGAUGAUAAAUACUGUCUGUCACCACGUGUUGUUUAAUACAGAGACAGACAGGUGGAGGGAGACACCUGGAUACAAAGACCAAAAUAAACACACAGAGACGGAUAGAGAGAGAGAGAGAGAGACGGAUAGAGAGAGAGAGACGGAUAGAGACAGAUAGAGAGAGAGAGACGGAUAGAGAGAGAGAGAGAGAGACACGGAUAGAGAGAGAGAGAGAGACGGAUAGAGAGAGAGAGAGAGACGGAUAGAGAGAGAGACGGAUAGAGAGACGAUAGAGAGAGAGACGGAUAGAGAGAGAGAGAGAGAGAGACGGAUAGAGAGAGAAGAGAGAGAGACGGAUAGAGAGAGAUAGAGAGAGAGACGGAUAGAGAGAGAAGAGAGAGAGACGGAUAGAGAGAGAUAGAGAGAGAGACGGAUAGAGAGACGAUAGAGAGAGAGACGGAUAGAGAGACGGAUAGAGAGACGGAUAGAGAGACGGAUAGAGAGAGGAUAGAGAGACGGAUAGAGAGACGGAUAGAGACGGAUAGAGACGGAUAGAGAGAGAGAGACGGAUAGAGAGACGGAUAGAGAGACGGAUAGAGAGACGGAUAGAGAGACGGAUAGAGAGACGGAUAGAGAGGAACGGAUAGAGAGAGAAAGACGGAUAGAGAGAGAAAGACGGAUAGAGAGAGAAAGAGUUCAGUUGAAGAAGUGUUUAGCUAAGAGGGAGGGGCUACAACUCUGCUCUGUGUGUGGGGGGGGGGGGUCAGCUGUUUGAGAAUGGGCCAAUCAUACAUCUGGGACUGAGUGACACAUCGAGCCACGCUGCUAUUGGACGGGGGAAAAGUGCACAGCCCCACUAACUUUGGCAACAAAUACAGGUGGGUACUGCAGAAUGGAACUGUGAGGGGGAAAGGGAGAGAGAGAGGGG